rnacentral:rRNA from 1 species
UACGUAGGGUGCGAGCGUUGUCCGGAAUCAUUGGGCGUAAAGCGCGUGUAGGCGGCCCGGUAAGUCCGCUGUGAAAGUCGGGGGCUCAACCCUCGAAUGCCGGUGGAUACUGUCGGGCUAGAGUGCGGGAGAGGCGAGUGGAAUUCCUGGUGUAGCGGUGAAAUGCGUAGAGAUGUGGAGGAACACCAGUGGCGAAGGCGACUCUUUGGCCUGUAACUGACGCUGAGGCGCGAAAGCGUGGGGAGCAAACAGG